UUGGAAUUCAAGGAAGGGUGGGUUUCCCCGAUCCGAACCCACUGGUCCGAACCGUCCUAUAUUAGAUUUCGGAAAAAAGGGUUCAAAAACCAAAACCCAAUUCACCUUGCUUUGGUGUUGUGGCGUUCCUCUCUAACAUUGAGAGAAAGAGAUGGGUUCUUCCCCUUCGCCAGAGAUAUACAUUCCAGAGCAAUGGUUAGAGGCCGGAGAGUCCAUUGCAGAGAGUUCAACACCUCCUAUUGCUCUUAUAUGUGGUGCCAAGAAUUGUGGGAAGACAACCUUCUCCCGCUAUCUCCUAAAUAUCCUUUUGCACAAAUACUCCAAAGUAGCUUAUCUGGAUACUGAUGUUGGCCAACCUGAGUUUACUCCUCCUGCUUUUCUGUCACUAACCAUUCUUCAUAAAGUAACUCCAGAUUUGACAGUUCCAUGCCUGAAGACACCGGAGAGAUGCCUUUUCUUUGGUGAUGUUUCUUGUAAGAGAGAUCCAUCUACAUACUUAAGUUAUGUGUGUGCCAUGUAUGAUUAUUACCGAAAUGAAUAUUGCAUUUCUGAUAAGGGAGAUUAUCCUCAUAAAAUUGAGUUACCUCUUAUUGUGAAUACUCCUGGCUGGGUGAAAGGUGUUGGUUAUGAUGUAUUAGUGGACAUGUUGAAAUAUAUUUGUCCAACACAUGUGGUUAAGAUAAACAUAUCAAGUGAAAAUAAGAAUUUACCUGCUGGAGAAUUCUGGUUAGAUGGGGAACAUGAUGAAACAAUUAACUUGAUUGAGAUAAAUUCAGCUCGUCAGGACUUGUUAAAUAGAUUGGUGCUCGUUAAGAAGGAUGCUCGUCUCCUGCGUGAUUUGAGAAUAAUGGCUUAUUUCAGACAGUGCUUUUCUAGUGAUUCAAAUAUUUCUACGAUCAAGGAACUUGCACAUGCCUUGGCCUAUCACUGUCCUUAUGAAGUUCCCAUUGCAAGCAUAAAGAUUCAACAUCUUCAUUGUGAGGUCCCAAGCUCUGAAAUCUUCUACAGUUUGAAUGCUACCAUUGUUGGCUUAGCAGUUGAUUCUGAUGUACCUGAAAAUUUACCUUGGUGUCUAGGGCUCGGUAGGGAUUGUGAGGGGCAUUGACACAGUCAAAGGUGUGCUCUAUGUCAUUACUCCUGUGCCACAUAGUUCUCUGGAAAAAGUCAACCUCUUACUACAGGGUUAUAUCCAAAUUCCUACCUGUUUAUUGCAGGUUCAGGGAUGCAUCUCACCUUACAUGUCAGCAAAUACUUUGACUACAAAGUAGUUAUUCAUGUGUAGGCAAAGAGCACUAUAAGUUAUUAGGAUCUGCUAAUGGUGAGAUUUUAGGUCAAAUAUUGUCAUCAUUGGACGACUAAACAAAGGAGCAUUAUAAUAGGCAUAUUGACAGGAUAGUAGCCAACUCUUAUAGUUAUUAUAUAGAAGCUUCGUUUUCCAUUAUAAUUUACAUAUUCCCGAGAGAAAUUAUUUUUCCUUAUGCGAUUUAUGAAAAUCCAACAAAAUUGUAUGAAUAA